rnacentral:lncRNA from 1 species
UGCUUAUUUUAAUCAAGAUUAUAAAAGGGUUCUUAAUUGCUGCUUUAGCUAUUCGGUUAGAGACGGUAUUAAUUUACACCAAAUUAAAUACAAUCUCUGUGGGACAAUAUCUUAUUCAUCAAUAUAUUACUUAUCUCCGAUACCGCGCACUUAAUGAUUUAGUCUAUCGGAGAUGCAUCUUUAUUUUUUGAUAUUGUGAACUACUUUGAUCAUAUAAAUCAAAUUAACAAAAUAGAAUUCUGCUCGUGGUAUAGUAUAUAUCUCGCAGUAACCUACAAACCCUACAUUUUAUGACUGUUACGAUGGGUAUAUAGGAAUCGACCAAAAGUCUUCUGAGAUAGAAAAUUUAAGUUGGUACAUACGUUGAGUUGCUCUGUGUAUCCCUCUUCUCCCGGACGAUCUCGCUCCCUCAUAAUAUACGAUAAAUAAAUAAAUGACAAGGCGUCGACCCCCCGCUGAAAGAAAGCACAUCGGCGACCGGCUGUGGCAAUUGUCGCAAUCACUAUAAGCCAACACGAAAUGUGAUAGUGCAGGGAUCAAAGUGGCAAAUACCAAGAAAACGAACUACGAAAGACAGGCAGUCUUUGCACUGGAUUGAUCCACGCACAUCCAUUUGAGCCACCGAUCUUAAAAGAGCGAUGUUCUUGCCGGAAUUCAACUUAAUUUCUUCAAAACAAAGUGAUGUUGGCAGUAGGCACAGCAAACCCACAAAACACAAUGAUAUUGGCACGCAAAAGAAACCACGUUAAUCAUUCGGACCCCAUCAAUUCGUUCACUGGGGAAUACAGUAUCAAGAAGCCAAGAAAGUAAGAGAGAAGAACCCUUUUCAGGGCAUUCAGAGAGAAGAACCCUUUUCAGGGCAUUCAGAGAGAAGAACCCUUUUCAGGGCAUUCAGAGAGAAGAACCCUUUUCAGGGCAUUCAGAGAGAAGAACCCUUUUCAGGGCAUUCAGAGAGAAGAACCCUUUUCAGGGCAUUCAGAGAGAAGAACCCUUUUCAGGGCAUUCCCCCUUUAUCUUUUCACAUCAAAUGACUAAAAGUCAAUAUAUAUAAGUCCAAUACGCUAAAAAUAGGUCCCUUCGGGAGGCUGGGCCAGCUUACGGUUGUGUGAAGCCGCCAUCUCUUUCUUCAGCUGCACCAGUAUAUGUUCCAUGGUGUAUUCCCGUUGCCAAUUUCCCAGAACUGCAAAUUUCUUCGCUUCCACCUAUAUCAAGUGAACACCAUACACCAACAAUCAACAAUAUGACAGAAUUGGGAAAUAUGCAUUUAUCAGCUCAAUGAUAGAAAUUCGCCAUGAUAAGCAUAGUGGUGUGAUUAGAGGUUUUAUUGAUCCCAAGUCUCAAAUAAGAUUGUAGCAUCCGUCAUUGAAAUGUUGUGUAUGGUAAAAUAUUUCGACUGUAUCGUCCAACAAAAGGUUGACUUUUAAACUCACUGCCAAUGUGGUUAAGAGUAGUGUACUAUCCUCAUCAGGAAAGGUUCAAGCAACCACCCGGUAUGGAAUAUGAGUAAAUUCACCUCCAAGACGGGUAAGUCAAUCUCAGCCAAAGUUAGAUAUUCUAUUGAACUGCACAAAUUGUUCCAACAACAAACAUUUUUAUUGUAGAAUAUCGGCAACUAACAUAGGGUCAUAUGAAAAGGGCACAAUUUAUGUAAAUAUACUGAUGAUCUACAAUGUUUUCUAUAUCCAUAAAACGUAGACAACAACCAAGAAGCUUUAAGAUCUUCAAUCUUUAUACUUUUUACAAAGGCCAACGAAAGUAAAUAUUGGAAAGUCAAAUUGGUCGGUUAAAUAUCAAUUAUUGUAGAAUAUAUUCAAGUUUGGGUGACUUUUAAUCAAAACAAGAGAUGAUCGGCUGAAGAAGGGCGAGAAAAAAGAAUUUCAAAGUUAAUGGACGAAAUCACAAUUAUCAAAAAGUUGAUUCGAAUCAAGAAAUGAAGAUUGAAGAUCAAAUGGAGUCAACUAAAUGAAAAUUGCCCGAAGCAAGGAUUCAAGCUUAACAAAUGAGCAAAACUGAGGACCAAAUUACAGUUUGAUAAAACAUUAACCCUCGCAGUCGCAAGGAGCAAAGAUCGUACAUGUAUAAUUCGGCAGACGAGGGUAGUUUCCCUUCUUUGAGUGAAAUUCCUUAUGGCAACCAUCUUCGACGUGAAUUACAGAACUUCUUCCAAUGUUGUAAGAUAUGAGAUACCUCUCAUAUCAUAUAGUACAUCAAAUCUCGCAAUCAAGGAGGUCAAAUCAUCACUAUUUUGAAAGAAAUCAAGAGGUAAGAUACAAGAAGUUCAUCAUUUGAAGAUUAAUGAUGUGUUUGAGCAACAUUUAAAAAAAAUGUAUUUUGGAAUAGUAGUUUGAUGGAGAAUGGUAGUUAAAAAAGAAGAAUUUUUUUUUAUUUGCGUGUAAUAUCAUUUUAACGAAGAAUAUGUGAUUGAAAAUAAGAUUAAAAAAUUGUAUUUUAAGAAAAAUGUGAUUCAAAUAUCCCUUGAACCUAGAUUUUUGGAAAAGAAGAGGAAUGUGCAGCUAGAAAUUAACCAAGUAAGAUUGAAGAAAUUCAAGAUUUCAAGGCUUCUCCUCUUCUUAUUCAUAUAUCUCAAAUUCGGGUGAUUUGAAUUCUUGUAACUUUGUAAUGCUAAAUUGGAUUUUUAGUCACUAAGACAUUGAAGGACCUUUGUUAUGAAGUUUUAAUAUCAAUUUCAAUACUUUGAAGCUCAAUAGUAUUUUUUUUUUUUUUUUAGAGUUUAAUGUUUUUUAAGUACUUAGCCCCUGUUUGUCAUCCUUUACUUUACAUUCUUUUCUAUUAUUUUUUCUACAGUACUUAUUUUUAACCACAUAUUCUUCAUUAAAAUAAUAUUACAUGCAAAUCAAAAAAAAUUUCUUCUUUUUUAACUACACAUUCUCUAUCAAUUACUAUUCCAUAAUAUAUAUCUCAGAAUUAAUGGGGCUCAAAUAGGGCCUUAAUCACUAAUUGGUAGAUGUAUGAUUUUUGUUACCUUCUAGAGAAACAAUAAGAAAGAUAACAUGUUUAUAAUAAUUGUUGUGAGAUCUGAUAAAGAAUAAAGAUAUACUGCUAUGUCUUGCAUGGUUGCAAUAGGUUUUCUAGCAUUUUAAUGUAUGCUUUUCAUGUUCGAGAAAGAAUAUUAAAUGAAUGAUAAGUUACAUGAGUUGAUAAGUUUAAUAAUUCUACUCAAGAAAGAAUAUUAAAUGAAUUAAGAACAUUGAUCAACAAGGAUAAAUAAAUAUUUUCAAGAUAUUGAAUUGUAUUGGAAAUGGAGAUUUGAAGUCUUGUGCUUAUUUUAAUCAAGUUUAUAAAAAAGUUCUUAAUUGCUACUUUAGCUAUUCAAUUCAUCGUAGGCGGGAAAUACAGAUCUUAAAUGAGCGAUGUUCUUGCCGGAAUUCAACUUAAUUUCUUCAAAACAAAGUGAUAUUGGCAGUAGGCACAGCAAACCCACAAAACACAAUGAUAUUGGCACGCAAAAGAAACCACGUUAAUCAUUCGGACCCCAUCAAUUCGUUCACUGGGGAAUACAGUAUCAAGAAGCCAAGAAAGUAAGAGAGAAGAACCCUUUUCAGGGCAUUCCCCCUUUAUCUUUUCACAUCAAAUGACUAAAAGUCAAUAUAUAUAAGUCCAAUACGCUAAAAAUAGGUCCCUUCGGGAGGCUGGGCCAGCUUACGGUUGUGUGAAGCCGCCAUCUCUUUCUUCAGCUGCACCAGUAUAUGUUCCAUGGUGUAUUCCCGUUGCCAAUUUCCCAGAACUGCAAAUUUCUUCGCUUCCACCUAUAUCAAGUGAACACCAUACACCAACAAUCAACAGUAUGACAGAAUUGGGAAAUAUGCAUUUAUCAGCUCAAUGAUAGAAAUUCGCCAUGAUAAGCAUAGUGGUGUGAUUAGAGGUUUUAUUGAUCCCAAGUCUCAAAUAAGAUUGUAGCAUCCGUCAUUGAAAUGUUGUGUAUGGUAAAAUAUUUCGACUGUAUCGUCCAACAAAAGGUUGACUUUUAAACUCACUGCCAAUGUGGUUAAGAGUAGUGUACUAUCCUCAUCAGGAAAGGUUCAAGCAACCACCCGGUAUGGAAUAUGAGUAAAUUCACCUCCAAGACGGGUAAGUCAAUCUCAGCCAAAGUUAGAUAUUCUAUUGAACUGCACAAAUUGUUCCAACAACAAACAUUUUUAUUGUAGAAUAUCGGCAACUAACAUAGGGUCAUAUGAAAAGGGCACAAUUUAUGUAAAUAUACUGAUGAUCUACAAUGUUUUCUAUAUCCAUAAAACGUAGACAACAACCAAGAAGCUUUAAGAUCUUCAAUCUUUAUACUUUUUACAAGGUAAAUAAAUGGUAAACUAUGAAGGUCAGACAGCCACUUGUCCUGGCAUCGCACUCUUCCAUUAAGGGGAGAGAAGAUAACCAGAAAGAUAAUGUAUGCUUUAGCGCCAAAUUACGAUUCCGUUGGUCGCUGAAGAGUAAAUAAAUGCACGUAAAAAACAUUAGAUCUAUUUUUACUAACUCAACAGCUGAGGAUAUAGCAAUUCCAAUUUGUUAACAAAAAUCCAUACUAUCAACUUAAAGACCGGAUCAAAAUUUCCUUACCACUC